UACUGGAGACAGGUGGCUGCAUGGCUGUCGUCAGCUCGUGUCGUGAGAUGUUGGGUUAAGUCCCGCAACGAGCGCAACCCUUGCCUUUAGUUGCCAGCAGUUCGGCUGGGCACUCUAAAGGGACUGCCGGUGUUAAACCGGAGGAAGUGGGGAUGACGUCAAGUCCUCAUGGCCUUUAUGACCAGGGCUACACACGUACUACAAUGGCCGAUACAAAGGGCAGCGAACACUGCGAGGUGAAGCCAAUCCCGUAAAAUCGGUCUCAGUCCGGAUUGGAGUCUGCAACUCGACUCCAUGAAGUUGGAAUCGCUAGUAAUCGUGGAUCAGCAUGCCACGGUGAAUACGUUCCCGGGCCUU
rnacentral:rRNA from 1 species